rnacentral:tRNA from 6 species
GCGAGGGUGGCGGAAUAGGCAGACGCGCACGUUUGAGGGGCGUGUGAGUAACAUCGUACGGGUUCAACUCCCGUUCUUCGCACCA